rfam:Ictidomys tridecemlineatus contig029049, whole genome shotgun sequence.
GGGGUUGUGGCUUAGCGGUAGAGCACCUGCCUCGCACGUGCGAGACCCUGGGUUCGAUCCUCAGCACCA